AGCAGCCGCGGUAAUUCCAGCUCCAAUAGCGUAUAUUAAAGUUGUUGCAGUUAAAAGCUCGUAGUUGAAUUUCGAGAUCAAAUUGUUGGUCGUGCCUUGGUACGCACUGGCAUUAUUGGUUUCUCCCUUCUGACGAACCAUGAUGUCAUUAAUUUGGUGUCUUGGGGAAUCAGGACUGUUACUUUGAAAAAAUUAGAGUGUUUAAAGCAGGCUCACGCUUGAAUACAUUAGCAUGGAAUAAUGAAAUAGGACGUUUGAUUCUAUUUUGUUGGUUUCUAGGAUCGACGUAAUGAUUAAUAGGGAUAGUUGGGGGGCAUUAGUAUUCAAUUGUCAGAGGUGAAAUUCUUGGAUUUAUUGAAGACUAACUACUGCGAAAGCAUUUGCCAAGGAUGUUUUCAUUAAUCAAGAACGAAAGUUAGGGGAUCGAAGACGAUCAGAUACCGUCGUAGUCUUAACCAUAAACUAUGCCGACUAGGGAUCGGAUGAUGUUAAUUUUUUAAUGACUCAUUCGGCGCCUUAC
rnacentral:misc_RNA from 1 species